GACAGAGAGCCUAUCACCAGCUGC
rnacentral:siRNA from 1 species